ACAUCCUGGAGGAAACAGAGUUACAGAGAAUUGAGGAAGAGGAACCUGAAGGGCACCAUGUUGGUUCUUAGAAAGAUAUUCAGAGUGAAUGAAGGAAUAGAGGGGAGAUUCCCCCGUCAAUUGGCAAUGGGUCUGAUGGACCAGCUCUCUGUAUAAAAGACAGGUCAGAUCAGACCUCAGACAUAGAACCAGAGCAUCAGCUAGACUUCUGACACUGAACCAGACUAGAGCAUCAGAGACCAGAGCACCAGAGACCAGAGCAUCAGAGACCAGAACAUCAGAGACCAGAACAUCAGAGACCAGAACAUCAGAGACCAGAACAUCAGAGACCAGCUAGACUUCUGACACAGAACCAGACAAGAGGUUCAGCUAGACCUCUGACAUAAAACCAGACGAGAGCAUCAGAGACAAGUGCAUCAGAGACCAGAGCAUCAGAGACCAGAACAUCAGAGACCAGAGCAUCAGAGACCAGAACAUCAGAAAACAUCUCAGACAAUACAAUCUUCUGCAUCUCAACCAUCUCUGAACCAUGAAGACCCUGACUGCUCUACUCCUCCUGGGACUGCUCUGCUCCCUCCCUACGACUUCUGCACAGCCUGUCAUGGGGAUUUCAGCAAUGACUGCCAGAGAAUGCUGUGUGAAUUUCCACCUGAGAAGGAUCCCUCUUGGUGCAGUGGUUUCAGUUUCUCGAACCUCUAGUAGCUGCCCUCGCCAAGCACUGGUGUUUACAACAAAGAAAGGGAAUCAAUUUUGUCUCGACCCAUCUCAGGCCUGGGUCCAGAGUCAUGUGACCAAGAUUGAGAGCAGAUCGUUGUCUCUGCCAGGACAACGAUGAUGUCAUCAACCACCGCCACCACAAACACACUGCCAUAACUGUCAAAAAAAUAUAUAUUAUAUUUUUGUUGUACAUACAGUAAUAUUAUUUAAUUCUUAUUUAUUUACAAUACUGUGAAGUUACUGUGUAUUUUGAAAUUGUUUUGUCAACAAAUAAUUAUUUUUUUCAGCAAUAAAGCGAA